rnacentral:lncRNA from 1 species
GGGUAUAGAAUUCUUGAGAAAAACAAAAAUGGCGGAAGAAUACGAACCCGAAAACGAAGCAGAGGUUGAAGAAGAAUUCUCCGUUUGGAAGAGAAACACUCCUCUUCUCUACGAUCUCUUCAUCUCACACCCUCUCGCAUGGCCUUCUCUUACUGUUCAAUGGCUUCCUUCACCUCCUCAACCCCACUCCAACUCUUCCUUUAACCUCCACAAACUCCUCCUCGCCACCCACACUUCCGAUGAAGAACCCAAUUACCUCAUGCUCGCUGAAUCCACUCUUCCUGGAAACCCAUCUCAACCCAUCAUCGCCACAGAUCCUGAA